rnacentral:tRNA from 3 species
GGGCCGGUAGCUCAGUGGUAGAGCACGUGACUUUUAAUCAUGUGGUCGUCGGUUCGACCCCGACCCGGCUCACCA